UGAUGAAACUUGGAAUCAAUUAGUCUUGCCAAUCGUCUUCAAUUGGGAACUAUCCUGUAUGAUGCAUUAUUGAUUAGCAAAAAAAAUCGACAAAAAUAUCACCAUGUUGAAGUAAACAGCUCACAGAGACGAGGUUAAAUAAAGGAGAACUGUGGACGAAUAACACAUCACGAAGUAACAAGGAAAUGCCUGAAGAUGGGAACUGAGCAUGUUCAUCAAUUGUGCAUAUUGAUAACUGAAGAAAAUAUCUGGUGAAUGAUUUGGGAAGAAAUAGCAUUAGUUCUAGCAUUGUUUGCAGCAGAUUUAGAACCAUUAUUGGAUGCAUUUCGAAUAUCUGAAGAUCUCGGCUUAUAUAUAUCCAGGUCCUGAAAUCCUACCGAAGACCAAUGAUCCAAAACACCAACUCUUCCUCUUCUUCGGCUAAUCAAACGGCGAAUUCUUCAGCUGUUGAACAAUAUUCCAAUUCAUACUUUCUACACCAUCCUGAUAAUACAAGCAUCGUUCUUGUAUUGAAUUUUCUCACCGAGACGACGAACUACACAUCUUGGAGUCAAGCCAUAAAGAUCGGAUUAACCGGGAAGAAUAAUCUUGGCUUCAUCAAUGGGGGUUCUAUUCCUAAAUUGUCGUUUUGAAAAUAAUAGGGACAAAACUCUAACGUACGGGAUAGUAGAGGAGGAGUUGGGAGGCGAUAGAACAAAUUAUUCAGCAACAAAUCAGGAAAGGGGAAGACAUUUAUUAGAGAAUAUAUCUUAAAAUUAAACAAAAGGGUGGCUAAACUAAUACAAAAUUAAGAUAUAGUUUGGAAGGGGAUUAUAUAAUAAAUACCUUUUCUUUGUUCAAGUCUUUUACAACUGUACAUAUAAAACCUCUUUGCAUUCAAUCUUCUGAAUAAAAAGCUCUCUGAGAGAAACAAGUUGCAAA